rnacentral:rRNA from 1 species
AUUGAACGCUGGCGGCAGGCCUAACACAUGCAAGUCGCACGAGUGGCGGACGGGUGAGUAAUGUCUGGGAAACUGCCCGAUGGAGGGGGAUAACUACUGGAAACGGUCGCUACUACCGCAUACCAUCGGAUGUGCCACGAUGGGAUUAGCUAGUAGGUGGGGUAACGGCUCCCGAAGGCGACGAUCCCUAGCUGGUCUGAUCGGAGGACCAGCCACACUGGAACUGAGACACGGUCCAGACGCCUACGGGAGGCAGCAGUGGGGAAUAUGGCACAAUGGGCGCAAGCCGGAUGCAGCCAUGCCGCGUGUAUGAAGAAGGCCUUCGGGGUGUAAAGUACUUUCAGCGAGGAGGCGUUACUCGCAGAAGAAGCACCGGCUAACUCCGUGCCAGCAGCCGCGGUAAUUC